UACGAGGGGAGCUAGCGUUGUUCGGAAUUACUGGGCGUAAAGGGCGCGUAGGCGGCCCUAUAAGUCAGAUGUGAAAGCCCCGGGCUUAACCUGGGAGGUGCAUUUGAAACUGUAGGGCUAGAGAUCGGGAGAGGAAAGUGGAAUUACGAGUGUAGAGGUGAAAUUCGUAGAUAUUCGUAAGAACACCAGUGGCGAAGGCGACUUUCUGGUUCGAUACUGACGCUAAGGCGCGAAAGCGUGGGGAGCAAACAGG
rnacentral:rRNA from 1 species